GACGAACGCUGGCGGCGUGCUUAACACAUGCAAGUCGAACGGAAAGGCCCUGCUUUUGUGGGGUGCUCGAGUGGCGAACGGGUGAGUAACACGUGAGUAACCUGCCCUUGACUUUGGGAUAACUUCAGGAAACUCGGGCUCAUACCGGAUAGGAGCUCCUGCUGCAUGGGGGGGGUUGGUAAGUUUCGGCGGUUGGGGAUGGACUCGCGGCUUAUCAGCUUGUUGGUGGGGUAGUGGAUUACCAAGGGUUUGAAGGGUAGCCGGCCUGGGAGGUUGGCCGGCGACAAUGGGACUGAGAGACGGCGCAGACUCCUACGGGAGGCAGUAGGGGGGAAUAUUGCACAAUGGGCGGAAGCCUGAGGCGGCAACGCCGCGAUCGUGAUGACGGCUUUCGGGUUGUAAACCGCUUUCGCCUGUGACGAAGCGGGAGUGACGGUAAUGGGUAAAGAAGCACCGGCUAACUACGUG
rnacentral:rRNA from 1 species